rnacentral:lncRNA from 1 species
GGGGAGAGGAAGUGAUGGAGGGGAGCGCUGCUGCCCCUGCUCUCUCACCCCUUUUCCCAAAAGCAAAAUUAUCCUAGGGGAAAAUAAAUAAAUAAAUAAAGAGAAGGAAAGAAAGAAACAAACAAACAACGAGAGGAUGGGACAGCGCAACCACUCUGGGGCAGGAGAGAGCCUGCUGGGUUCGGAGCAGUCGGGAGGAAAGCACCGGGAGGCACAUUGAACGGCUUAAAAUAACGUGUAAAUGGAUACAAGUAACUCAUUUAAAAGUUGGAAGAGGGGAAGGAAUCAAAGCGCGGCUCCUUUCGGGUUGCAAACUGGGGCUGAGCCCGAUGACCGUAAAGGUCCCUUCCAACGGGGUCCUCUCGCAGCAGACUGUGCCGGAAGGAAGCGGCUCGCUUCAGCGUAAAGAAAGCUCAAAGGAAAGGGAGCCGGCGCAGGCCUCUGAAGCUCCUUUCCACCACGUCUGUCCCAGCACCGCACCUGGUUUUGGA